UACGUAGGUGGCAAGCGUUACUCGGAAUCACUAGGCGUAAAGCGCAGGUAGGCGGUUUGGUAAGUCUGUUGUGAAAGCUCCCGGCUCAACUGGGAGAGGUCAACGGAAACUACCAGGCUGGAGUGUGGUAGAGGUAGCUGGAAUUCCCGGUGUAGCUGUGAAAUGCGUAGAUAUCGGGAGGAAUACCUAUGGCGAAAGCAGGCUACUGGACCAUCACUGACGCUGAUCUGCGAAAGCUAGGGGUGCAAUCAUG
rnacentral:rRNA from 1 species